GUUUUAGUUCUCGGCGGACACAACAUCUUUGUUUGUAUGUGGUGCUGAGGAUCGAACCCGGGCCGCACGCAUGCCAGGCGAGCGUGCUACCGCUUGAGCCACAUCCCCAGCCCGGCCUAUAGUUCUUUAUCCUAUUAUCUGUAUCCAUGUAGGUUUAUAUUUAAGGUUACAUAUUAAACUUCCUUAAUAUUGUGAAAAAUAUCUUUCAUACAGUGUAAGUAGAUAGAAAAUAAUAGCUACCAGAAUACUUCCUCCAUAACUGAAUAAUCACAAAUCUGAUGGAUCCUUAUAGAAAAUCUGCAUAGACUAACAUAACACAUCUGGAAUAAAAAGAAAAUUAGAACCAAUAGCAACAAUUUUGUUUGAUGCCAAGAAGUCCUUUGAUGCAAUUGAAUGGUACUAUUUGCAUUACAUGUUUAGGUAAAUUUGACUUUGGGGACAAAUAGAGCAAAUAGCACAAUUUAUUUUCAAUCCAUUUAUAUGGUUCAGAUCAAUAGUUUACAAUCUCCCUUUGUCUGCCUUAUUGCUGCACUGCAUGGGGGAAGUAAGCAUGAAGCCCAUUACUAUUGGAGCUAUAAUCUCACCCAGAUCCCAUGGGCAUCUGAGGAAUAUUCAGAUGAAGGUUCACAAGUUAACUAAUGUAUGAUGAUAAUUUACUACUUGUGCUGAAAGCUCUAGUAGCAUCUGUCCUGAAAACAUUAAAAGUAAUGUCAGAAUUUGGAAUGGCUUUAGGCUGCAAAGUCAGUAGGAGAAAAUCAGAAAUACUAUAUUAACAAAAGAGUUUCUAUUAAUAUUACUUAUUAUGUGACAUAAUAAAUUUUAAACUUAAAGAGAAUUGAUUUGGGAUUCUCAUUGGGGAAUUAUUAAGCAAGAGAGUAAACAAAACAUUUAAAAGUUGACCUGUAAUUCAGUGCCAAGGCUUUUAAAAAAUAAGUUUUACUAAAUUUGAGGAGGAAAAAAGCUUGAUAGAUAAUAAAACUGUUUUGAAAUUUAAUUUUCUAACUCAUAUUAACUCCAUACCUCUCUUUUUACAAAUGAAGAUAAUAAUUUUUCUAGUCAUGUUGAAGCCAGAUUUAAAAUUAGGUAGUCAGUGUAGUUAGGUAAAUCGGGUCUAAUAUCAUAUCAAGUGAAAUCUAAAAUGGAGGCCAUGCUGAUAAUGAUUCCGGAAAUGCAGGACAACUCAUGGAAUGUUAAUGAAUUCCCAGAAAGGUCCUAGGCCAAAGUCCACCCCAAAGAAAUGUUAAUGGAACCCAGGAAACAGCCCCCAACAGAUUUGGAGAUAGCCCAUCCCAAAGAAGUGAUAAUGAAGUCCUUCCUGCCCAGAUUACUUGUUUGGCCCACCUGUGUCCCACCCCUUGGGCCUUCCAACCUACAUUCCAUCACCAAAACUAUAAAAAGGGGAGACAACCGCACUUCCACGGGUCCCCUUCUUCCUCCAGGAGAAGUCUUUUCUGCUGUCCUUUAAUAAACUUCUA
rnacentral:lncRNA from 1 species